GCUUACGGCCAUACCACCCUGAGCGCGCCCGAUCUCGUCUGAUCUCGGAAGCUUAGCAGGGUCGGGCCUGGUUAGUACUUGGAUGGGAGACCGCCUGGGAAUACCAGGUGCUGUAAGCU
rnacentral:rRNA from 1 species